UUGGGUUGGCCAAAAAGUUUGUUUGAGUUUUAUCAUAAGAUCUCACAGAAAAGCCCAAAUAGUUUUUUUGCCAACCCAAU
rnacentral:miRNA from 1 species